UUAAGAAAAUCAACUACUUUUCCGACCUUGUAAGAUCAAAAAAUCUUAGCCCAAGUAGAAUUUGAAGUAUCCAAAGUUGAAAAACUUGACUAAAAACUUAUUGAAAUGAAUCGCACCGAUUGAUUAAAACAACUCGAACCUUCGAGUUGAUCGAUUCUCAACUACAUUAAUGCCGAUUCAAUUGGGACAAGAGGCUAAUUGGUUUCGAAACAACUUUCCAUUGAACCGGAGAGUAGCUUUUGUUUUGAUCCUAGCCAAUAAAGAUUUCUUAGCAACUGUCCAUAAUGCCAAGGUUAUGGCCUAGACUGGUGAGAUCAACAACUUGCAAACGGAAUUGGUGGCUUCUUUCUCUGUAAACCUUAGCCGACCAUCCAUCAUUCCAUUCAUCCAUCUAUCCAUCCAUAAACUCUCCAUUUCCUGUUCACGCCAUCUUCAGGCAUCGGACCAGGCACCACUCGAGAUCUCGAUAUAUUUUUUCUUCCCAUUUUAUUGUCGUCAGUGGAUCUCCGCGAUCCUCCUCCAUCCACCAAGUACACGUAAAUGAACUCGACUGCCACACAGCCGCUGCCUGGAAAGCUGGUUGAAAAGGUGAGUUGGUUCGAUGAAGGAGCUUCCGAACCAUCCAUUCACAUUCAUUCUCCAUCCACUUGGUUCAUGAGGAUUGUCGUUGGUUCUAGAACGUCUGCCAUCAUCGAGAGCUCUGCGAAACAAAGAGCCGUGAUCUUCUCACCUUGACAAAAAUGAUAUCGUAUCGGGUUGAGACAGCCGAAGGCUUUGGACUGAAACCAUUUUGUGCUCUACUUACUGUACUACAGUGGCUGAUAUCUGUAUGGCCAAGGUAAUGCUCCAAAGGACACCCAAGUGACCAUUGCCACUUAUUGCACGUAAAUGCAGUGAAGCUUUCCGAGGAAAGGCAAUCUUUUAGCCAUCAAGCCAAUAAGCAAGAACCCGACUCAGCCAAGUGUACCGUUGGAUAACCACUCACCUCAACCAUCAAUUCUUUCGAAAGCCAACCGCUAUCUGAUUCGAUUGGAUUGGCAGAGCAAUCAUCAUUUUAAGUUAUCGCCUUAUUUGAGCAAGUUGGAGAAAAUCGCCUUCAUCUACGUAAGCCAGUCAGCCAGGAGCUUUUUGUUUUGCCCGGUGCUCGAGAAGUGAGCCCUCCGGGUUGAUCCUAUUGGGUUGGACAAUGGUUUCCUGACGCCCCCAACACAAACUCAAACACACGCCACAAAACAAGCACUGACAAGAAGCUCUUGCCAUUCCUUUACUUCUUCCUGAUAUCGACAUUGAUUUACGCCUUGCUCGCUCAUUAUUUACUCCAUGCCUAUUCGUGCCAUCCAAAGACCAAAGGGCCCCCCAAGGAUAAAAGACGAAACUUCGAUGAUUAUUUCCCACAGUGGACCAAGUUCGAGUGGAAGUUGAGCUACUUGCCAUGGCUUCCCCGGAAGCUGGAUAUGAACGAGACAUCCCCCGCGAUAGAGAGACAGAGAGGAUCCAGGUGGGGCUCAAAACCUGGUUGGCGUUGUCAGUGUUUCCCCUCUGAAGCGAUAGCAUGAUCAUGAGGAGGAUGGCGACGUGUGACGAUGAGGCAACACACGGCGAAGACGAAAAUCUAGUUCAGGUAAGACGAGCCCCAAAAACUGACGGAAAGGUAGCGACUUGCCAGCUCCUCAACAUGGUUUUGGGUUGGGCUUGUUUGGUUCGCGUAAAAUAUUUCUCAAUCCGCUCGACGUCCCGCCAAUGGCCGUUGGCAACAUCCCGGUCGGAGACUCUGUCAC